CGACGCGAUAGGCCGGGUGGGCGGGUUCGCCUGCGGCGAAGAGGUCCCGGAUGGCCCGGGACAGGUCCGGCGGCACGACUUCGUCCGCGUCGA
rnacentral:tRNA from 1 species